AGCAGCCGCGGUAAUUCCAGCUCCAAUAGCGUAUAUUAAAGUUGUUGCAGUUAAAAAGACUCGUAGUUGAAUUUCGGGAUUGGCGCAUCGGUCGUGCCUCACGGGGUAUGAACUGGUGCAGUCAAUUUCUCACCUUCUGGAGAACCGCGAUGUCCUUAAUUGGAUGCCGCGGGGAACCAGGACCUUUACUUUGAAAAAUUAGAGUGUUUAAAGCAGGCAUUUUUGCUUGAAUACAUUAGCAUGGAAUAAUAAAAUAGGACGGCAUGGUUCUAUUUGUUGGUUUCUAGGACCACCGUAAUGAUUAAUAGGGAUAGUUGGGGGCAUUAGUAUUCAAUUGUCAGAGGUGAAAUUCUUGGAUUUAUUGAAGACUAACUACUGCGAAAGCAUUUGCCAAGGAUGUUUUCAUUAAUCAAGAACGAAAGUUAGGGGAUCGAAGACGAUCAGAUACCGUCGUAGUCUUAACCAUAAACUAUAGCCGACU
rnacentral:rRNA from 1 species